ACUAUUCCGGGAUUUGACGCGGGACUUUUGACCAUUUGAUUUUAUUUUGAGACAUAAGUUGAAUAUGAAAUUGAUGGCAUUAGACACUUAGGAAAAAUUGGGACCACAAUUCAUAAAAUUGGAAUUUAAAAGUCUUGCACCAAAAGCCAUGGUGGCCGUGUGGACUUGAAAUGGUCCCACACAUUGUGUGGCCAAUUUUAAUUGGUCCAACACAUGUGUGGGCCAUAAACAAAGGGAGAUAUUUGUGGAUACAAAAAAAAAAAAAAAAAAACUAAGUCAUCUUUCUCAUUUCCCACUUCUACACUUAGAGAAAAAUAACAAGACUUGGAGAGCCUCCACUCCCCCAUGGUUCUCGGCCACAACCAAGAAAAAUCAAGUCCCAUUUUUGCCUCUCUAAAAUUAUUUCUUUGGUAUAAACCCACUAUUUGGAGGUCCCUAAGUAGCGUGGAAGUAUUGUUUGGGUCAUUCAACCACUCAUUUUGUCCAUUUGCAAACCCUAGCCUAUUGGUGGAUUGAAGAAUAAAGGUGAGUUCUAAUCUUGUUUUUGGAGUUAUAAAUGUUGUAUGCAUAUUGUAGUAUGCUAAAAUGGAUAAAAAUCAUGAAAUAUGGAAUGUUGAAGUUGGGUCUUGUGUUGGGUGUGUUGACCGUGUGAAGUAUAUGUGUGUGGUGUGGUAUUGGGUUGACGAAUUAAUUGCUUGUAGCAUAUUGAUUGUCGUAGAGUGGAGAAGAGAAUAAAAAUCAUCGAUACAUGUAUAUGUGUAGUGUAGCCGUGUAUAUAGCCUCCAAAUGGUAGCAAAGAAUGAAUUAAUAUCGCUUAGCGUCGUAAUGGUUGUUGUGAUGAUUUGUAUGUUGGAAAUGAGAGUUAAAUGUCCCGAAUUGAUAUAGUAAGCGUUGCGGACUGAUUUGGAGAACUUUGUGCAUUUAAUGCAAUCCUUAUAUAUGAGAACCAUUAACAUAUGAAUAUGUGUAGUGUGAAUGAAUGUGAGUCAUAGAUUAUGCCGAAUAUCGCAUUAUUAUCGCUUAAGCGCUUUCGUGUCGUCGUUACGAAUUUUAGUUUGGAAUUGAGCAUUUAAUGACUUAAGAUUGAUGUUGAGAUUGUACGGGCUGAUUUGAGGGUUAUUGUGCGUUGAUGUAAUUUGUAUAUUUUAUGAAAAUGGUAUCGUUAUAUUGUGAAUUGUGAUACAAAACAUGAAUUGAAAGUCGGAAGUGUGCCCAGUGGGCUGCUCACGGGUAGGGGCUGUUUUCGGCCAAAAAUUUGGAGAAAUUGUGGAUUGUUGGAAAUAUUAUGUGAAUUUUUUUAGAAUGUUCUUGAAUGUUGUUAGUAUGGGUUUGGGUUAAUAAUCGAAUGUACGAACGAUAUUGUGGCUUGAAAGUAAGCCAUUGAAUUGAAUAAUUGGAAAGUUGUCGAAUGGUGUAAAAGAGAGCUACUAUUAUUAUUUUGCCUUUCGAAUUGAUUAUCGAUGUUGCUAGGUUGGUUAUUGUGGUUGUUGUUGUUGAUUUUGAGCGAGUUAAAUUCUCGGGAUGGCCUAUUUAUAGGGGAAAUGCUGCCGAAUUUUCUGUAGAAUUUAAUGUUAGUUGGAAUAAAUGGCUUAAGUGCCUAUGUUUAAUAUUGGAUAUUCGUUGGCAUAUUUGUAGACCUUGGGGAGCCCGAGGUGUAGAUUGGAAUUUACUUUAUAUUGGCCAUCUUGGAGUGCGUACGAGGUACAGACGCACAGUUUGGUGAUCUACCCAUUUAGGACACCCUAUUCUGCUGUUUGGAGUGCUCUUCUCAUUUCAGAGCACACAUUUUGGUAUAUAUUCGUUCGCCAUGUAUAUAUGUAUUUGUUCAGGGGCACGGCGGGGCCCUGUCCCGCCAUAUGAUUCGGUUUGUCUGUUUAGAGGUCUGUAGACGUAUUUGUGGGUGUGUGUGCCUACUUCUGUACGGAUGUGUUUGCAUGACUCUAUUCGUUAUGGCAGCCUCGUCGGCGUGCAUUUUGUAUAUGUUUGUUGCAGCCUUGUCGGCGUGCAUUUGUAUAUGCGUUUUGGGCCGUUGUGCCAUUUGACAGCCUUGUCGGCUUUUGACAUAUUUGAUAGCCUUGCCGGCUUUUUGAUAUAUGUGCAUAUGUUCGGCGAUGUAUAUUCCGCCGCCUCUUCUGAUUCUGAUAUAA